rnacentral:rRNA from 1 species
UACAGAGGGGGCAAGCGUUAUUCGGAAUUAUUGGGCGUAAAGGGCGCGUAGGCGGCCUGGCAAGUGGAAGGUGAAAUCCCUCGGCUUAACCGAGGAACUGCCCUCCAAACUGCUUGGCUUGAGUCCGGGAGAGGUGAGUGGAAUUCCCAGUGUAGCGGUGAAAUGCGUAGAUAUCAAGAGGAACACCUGCGGCGAAGGCGGGUUGCUGGGCCGACACUGACGCUGAGGCGCGAAAGCCAGGGGAGCGAACGGG